AUUGAACGCUGGCGGCAGGCUUAACACAUGCAAGUCGAGCGAGCGGCGGACGGGUGAGUAAUGUCUGGGAAACUGCCUGAUGGAGGGGGCUAACUACUGGACACGGUAGCUAAUACCGCAUACCCUCAGAUGUGCCCAGAUGGGAUUAGCUAGUAGGUGGGGUAAUCGCUCACCUAGGCGACUAUCCCUAGCUGGUCUGAGAGGAUGACCAGCACAACGGGAACUGAGACACGGUCCAGACUCCUACGUGAGGCAGCAGUGGGGAAUAUUGCACAAUGGGCGCAAGCCUGAUGCAGCCAUGCCGCGUGUGUGAAGAAGGCCUUCGGGUUGUAAAGCACUUUCAGCGAGGAGGCGUUACUCGCAGAAGAAGCACCGGCUAACUCCGUGCCAGCAGCCGCGGUAAUUC
rnacentral:rRNA from 1 species